UUGACCUACGGGGGGCAGCAGUUAGGAAUAUUCGGCAAUGGGGGAAACCCUGACCGAGCAAUGCCGCGUGUGAGAUGACGGCCCUAUGGGUUGUAAAUCACUUUUAUUUGGGAAGAAUUGUAAGCAUAGGAAAUGAUGUUUACUUGACGGUACCUUUUGAAUAAGCCCCGGCUAACUACGUGCCAGCAGCCGCGGUAAUACGGAGGAUGCGAGCGUUAUCCGGAUUUAUUGGGUUUAAAGGGUGCGUAGGCGGGCUUUUAAGUCAGCGGUAAAAAUUCGGGGCUCAACCCCGUCCGGCCGUUGAA
rnacentral:rRNA from 1 species